rnacentral:tRNA from 1 species
GCGCGGAUGGUGAAACCGGUAGACACAAGGGACUUAAAAUCCCUCGGCCGCAAGGCCGUGCGGGUUCGAGUCCCGCUCCGCGCACCA